GGCGUUCUUUUCUAUCUUCUUUUAACGUGAUGAUAUCUAUUUCUUCUUUUUUCAAUGUUGUUCAUCUCCAAAUGAUUCGUAUCACUCCCAUUACAAUUUCAUUUCAAUGCUUUUUAAAGAUGUAAAUUAUGAUUUUUUAACCUCUUGGAUAAUUUUCUUUGGUGCAUAAGGAAUUCUUUUGUGACAACUAAAGAGACAAACUUGGGAGUAGUGUAAGUGGAUUUGAAAUAA
rnacentral:lncRNA from 1 species